rnacentral:tRNA from 1 species
AUGUAGCUCAGUUGGUAGAGUGUUUGCCUAGCAUGUAUGAAGUCUUGGGUUCAAUCCCCAACAU